rnacentral:rRNA from 1 species
AGGAUUAGGUUAAAAAUCAAAUGAUUUGGCGGUAUCUUAUCCUAAUAGAGGAACUUGACCUUUAAUCGAUAAGCCCCGUUUAAUCUUACUUUUACUAAAGUUUGUAUACCGUUGUUGUUAGAUUACCUUGUAUAGCUAGCUAGUUUUCUUAAUAGAAUAUUUUUUAGCUAUCUAGAUGGUUCUUUUACUUCAAAUCAAGGUGCAGUUAAUGUAGAAGUUGAGUUGAGUUACUUUUUGUUAGAAAUAGAGGGUAAAAUGAAAUUUUAUUUGAAAGAGGAUUUAUUAGUAAGCUCUUAUUAAUUAGAUUAGCUGAAAAGGGGUCUGAGAUAUGUACAAAUCGCCCGUCACUCUGGUUUUAAUAUCAGAUAAGUCGUAACAAAGUAGGUGUAAGGGAACUUGCACCUAGAUGA